AGAGAGAGGAUGAGAGGGGAGGAUGAAAGGGACGAGUAACAUAAGUGAAAAUAAUUUGAAAUAGAUUUCAGUUUUUAGUUUUUAUUUUCACUUUUGUUACUCCUCUCUUCCAUCCUCUCCUCUCAUCUUCCCUCUCA
rnacentral:miRNA from 1 species